rnacentral:lncRNA from 1 species
ACCGCUCUGCCGAUCUCUCGGCGUGGAGGAAACGUAAACAAAGGAGCUGUGCGCACCUGCUUUAAACAGAAGGCAGAAAACAAUGAGCCAGCCAUCAUCGUGCAGGAAGCCGACGCCAAAUGGGCUGCUGCUGAAUCGGUCAGGCAUGCACCAGCUAGGACCAAGAAAAUGGAGCAGUGUGCCUCUUCUCAGGAGUGACUGAGGGGCUG